UAAAACUCAAGCAUAUGAAUUGGCGCGUGCCUUUUACGUGUCUAACUUUUACAAGUAAUUCUUUUAUGUUUUAGAAUGAAUCUUUUAGAUUCUCAAUUAAUUUUCCCAGUCAAAUGAUUAUUGAUUUUUAUCUUGGUAAUUGAUCCACUACUUGAAUUUGGAAAUUAAGUGGAUUGGGGCCCCUUGUCAAUGUUUCGCUAGAGUCAAUCUGAUUACAGCGAUUCAAAUGGUGGUGCACUGAAGGUUGUUCUUGUCCUGCUGACCUUCAAUUCAAAGAUUAAGCAAUUUAGAUAUUCACCCAUUUUUCUUCAGGUAAACUCAUGUGCUUGUCAGUCAAACGUUUGGAGGUCUUGCUAAUUGUCAUGCAGCUGCAGGCUGUCAUCGAUGAAGUAAAAGCAUUUUCUUUCUGUCACUCAGCAGUACAUUUUAAUGCCUCUUCUCCGUGAGAAAAACUUCAUCAGGAGUGCAUCAAAACCUGACUGAACAGAACUUUGCAUCUCCUUCGUGAGGCAUGUAAUUUGAGCUCAAAAAUAGUCUAUAGUAUGAUCCUAAAAGAUAAGCCUUGCCAAACGAACUUAAUGUCCCGCCUUUUUUAUUAGCUCAAAAACAAUCUAUAUUCUGAUCUUAAAAAAAGAAGCUUUGAAAAACAAACUAUCACAAUUGCUUAUAUUGCUUAGAUAUUUGUUUGGUCUAUUCAAGGGGACUUAUCAUUAAGAUAGAUGAUUUUUUUAUGCAUUUAAUUUGCGCACACACUUGAACUCCGUGUAUACCUGGGAAUUUUAUUUAUUCUUUCAAUAAGUUUGAUUUAAUAUUUAGACUUAUCCCUCCAACUUGCACUAACUUGUCAUGUUAAGUUCUAAAUAUGGGAGUAAAGAAAUUGUUAGGGAUAAAACAACCUUAAAAUCUUAGCUCUCGACAUAUAAACUUGGAACAAAGAAGAAUUGACGUUAAAGUCUCACCAGUCAAGAAUAAAUAUGCUGCAGCUUGCAAUUGUAAAAGGCCCCACACUGCGCUUACUUUUAACUAUAUUGCAUUGAAUAAAGUCAAUACUGUUUUUGCUGAAAAUUUUCAGACUGAGGUGAAAGAGGAUGCAGUAGAUAGAGAGACUAUGCCACGAGGACCAUCAACCUUUGGUGCAACCUCGCGCUAUGUAUUCAAAAAACUAUUAUCCCAAGUCUGCACCCAGAAAGUCUAUUCACAUAUAUGUGCGCGCGCGCGCGCAUAUAUAAUCUUGAAAAAAAACAUAUAGUGGAUAUCUUUAAUUAGGAAUACUUUUAAUUAGUUUUGAUUUAUGGUUCAGGAUUUCAAAGGCAUUUAACUCAAUUGAGGUAAGGAAUUAUAUUUUUCUUUGGCAUCCGUGAAAGUUCAUUAUAACUUCUGCAAUUAUUGAGACUUGAAUGUGGAAGUAACUACUAAAAUUAUUGAAAUUAAUAAAUAUAAUCAUUGUCUAUUAUCAUGGAUCUCUUUUUUGGUAUAAUAAGUCUAUAAGACUAGAGGCUUGUAUUUAUUUCAAUGAUGUUUUAUGUCCAAUUUGAUGUAGUCAAGUAUUAGGUGAAGAGUUUUCUAUCAAAUAGCUCUUACAUUAUCUAUUUUCCUGGAACUCUUUUUCAUAUAAUAAUGUUGUGUUCAAUGAUAUUUUGUCAACAUAAGUGAACUCAUGUAUGAAUUUUUAUUAAAAAUAUUUAGUUAUCUGCCCUCUAUAUAUCUGCAUUGAUAUUGAUAUGUCUCCAUGUCCAUAGUCUAUCAAUUAUCUAUUUGUAAUAAGCACACUUCGGAGACCUUGAAGGGUCUGAAAGAAGUAUCAAAAGAAUUAAAGAUAGGUCUCAGAAUUCACAUGCACUCAUCAAUAUUAGUGGGAGGCACUCAGAUAUCAAGUCUCUAUCACAAUAUUAAAAAAAAAACACCUAUUUUAUAUCUAUCAUAAAUUUCUAAGAUAUCAUGUUGUAGAGAAGAAGAGAUUUGACAGUACAUGAAUUUUGCAGCUAUCUUUGAAUAGCUGAAAAGAAAAGGGCAUUUCUCUUUAUGUUACUUGAUCAAAAGCUACAAUGUACAGGUCCAAUUAAUUAGCUUCACAGGUUGAAAAUGGCAGAAUUUUCUUCCGUUGAUCAAAAGCCGCUAAAUGAAGCAAGGUGUUAUUCCUUAAAUUUGUUAUAGCACAGACCAUGGCAGCUUUUUAAAGCAUCGUCCACGAGUCAAGGUUUAUUGAGGUUGAAAGCAAGCAUUCCACGAGUCAAGGUUUAUUGAGGUUGAAAGCAAGCAUGAAUGAUCUGGCUUCAAAGUAUCAACAGUAUCAAGUUGCCAGUGCUGAAGAACUUGAGUGUGGAGGCAAAGAAGAACAUGAUGAUGUCAAUAUGGCAUCGAGGGAUGGAGUUAUCUCCACCUUAUUAUUGCUCAAAUGAUUACCAUUAUUCGUUCUUUUUUGUGAGCUCUAAGCUCUUUAAUUGAAUUUGUUUUAUCAAUGCA